rnacentral:rRNA from 1 species
UACGAAGGGGACUAGCGUUGUUCGGAAUCACUGGGCGUAAAGCGCACGCAGGCGGAUCGAUAAGUCGGGGGUGAUAGCUCGGGGCUCAACCUCGGAAUUGCCUUCGAUACUGUCGGUCUCGAGUCCGGGAGAGGUGAGUGGAAUUCCUAGUGUAGAGGUGAAAUUCGUAGAUAUUAGGAAGAACACCAGUGGCGUAGGCGGCUCACUGGACCGGUACUGACGCUCAGGUGCGAAAGCGUGGGGAGCAAACAGG